AUAUAGGAUAAAUUGGAUAAUAGUAUAGUAGUUAGAUAUUUUACUAAUUAAAUUUUAAAUUAUAGAAAAAAAAUAAAAGAAAAAGGUUAAACCUUUUUUCUAUGGUGUCCUUGAAAAAAACAAAAAAAAAAAAAAAAAAAAAAAAAAAAAAAAAAAAAAUCUUGCAUUAUGUAUAUAGCAUCCGAACCCUAGUGUCGAUGGCGUGAACAAUAAGUUCCGUUUAAUCGCGUUCAACGGAGAAACUGUUUCAGAUUCACCUGUAUUUGACUGCUCUUUAUCUGUAAAUAAUGUCUUGUCGCAGAGGAAGUACGUGUGGUUCUCGAUCUUCUAGUUCGUCAUCCUCUUUUGGAUUCUCAGGAGGUAGUUCCUGGUUUCGAUCUUUUCAUUGGCCAUCCUUCUUCCGACGAAAGCCUAAGUCGAUUCUUCAAAUGCUCGGAAAUCCUGGAUCACUUCAUCCGGUUCAGGGGAAGAUUGGUUAUUUAACUGGUGCAAAGCAGGCCUAGAGGAAGAUGAUCCAACAUAUGCCGUUUGGGAUGCAGAAAAUUCCAUGAUUAUGUCAUGGCUAGUGAACUCCAUGGAAUCGGAGAUAUGCCAAACAUUUAUGUAUCUCUCCACUGCUAAAGAAUUAUGGGAGACAUACUCAGACUUGGGCAAUUCCGCACUAGUAUUUGAAAUUAAAACAAGGAUCCGAGAAACAAGACAGGGAGAUCAGACUGUUACAAAGUAUUACAACAUAUAACAAGGUUUGUGGCAAGAACUCGACCUCUUUUAUGAUUUUGAAUGGAACUGUACAGGUGAUAGUGGCCAGUUCAAGAAACAGUUAAGAAGGACCGUGUAUUUGACUUUUUAGCUGGACUCAAUGCUGAGUUAGACGAAGUAAGAGGAUGUAUUCUAGGCAAAGAGCCACUGCUUACCACUAGAGUAGUCUUCUCGGAAGUUUAGAGGGAAGAAAGCCGCAGGUUGGUGAUGAUGGGAAAGAAAUCCUCUAGCACUCAUAAUGAGAACUCUGCACUCAAUGUAACAACCACUGAAAUGGCAGCAGUUGCAGUUAAUCCAAAACCAACAAAUCACCCACAGCAGAAGAUUGAAGAGAAAACCAAGAUCUGGUGUGAUUUCUAUAACAAACCAAGGCACACGCGAGAAACAUGCUGGAAACUACAUGGAAAACCAGCAAAUUGGAAGGUAGGCAGAUUUGGAGACAAGAAUGGGCGUGGAAUGUAGGUUACUACUGAAACCGAGACAUCUCCAUUCACUAAGGAGCAACUUGAUCAUCUCUCCAAACUGCUGAACCAAACUCAGGUUUCAAGUGUCUCCUCAGGUUCUCUUGCCCAAAAAGGACCUAUAUUCGGGGAAGAUGAUUGGCAGUUCUAAGAUGGUUAAUGGACUCUAUUAUUUUGAUAAUGAAAUCUUCAAGAGUGGACAAGCUCAAGCUGCAAGUAGCAUUGGCAAUGAUACCUUAACUCAAGAAGUUGCUGCCAGCAGGAGUGCUUUCAUUGAUUGGGAUGCACUGUUUAAGGGUUUUCAUAAUUCCGAAGAGCACGACAGCAGCACUGUUUUUGCUUGCAAAAUGUUUGAGUUGUGGCUCAAAGAUUGCGGAAAGGAGUUUCCUAAUGAUGGCAUUGUAUGUGAGAGCGUACGCGAGUGCCUUUGAGAGCAAUGCAACUUUGGGCCUUUCCGCAAGUACCUUGAAGAGCCUGCUAACUCUGAAGAGCCUGGUAACACUGAAGAUGCUAAAUGAUUCCACAAUCCUCCCAGUCCAGUUUGAGGUUGAGUGCAAACUUUCAGUAUGGUCUUCAAGCAAUGGCAGCCGCAUCUUGAGCAACUGAAUGGAUGAAUAUUUUCUCUUCAAGCAAUGUUUAACAAGUCGUCAAAUUUUAUUUAUACAGAGAAAGACCUUCUGCUGCAAAUUUCUUUUUCUAUGCAUAUAAAUUUGGGUUGUGGAAUGCUAGGGCAGUAUAGAGCAAUUAAUUAUGUGAUAGUUUCUUAUGUGGUUCUAUUGACGAUCAAUUCUGUUUGAGCAUCUAUUGCGAGACCUCAUUUGGAGAGUUUUAUAACAAGUGGAGAGCCUGACGUGGUGUAAGCCACUCCAAUUUGUGGGGCCCACAUCAUAAUCUCCACUCAAUGCUCCAUAUUCAUAAUUGCACUUGAGAAAUUAGUCGAUUUAGUCAAUUUUUCUCUGCCUAA